rnacentral:lncRNA from 1 species
GUAAGCCUAGGGACAGACACUGCGGAACUUGGGAGGUGCCCCGGGGUGCCACGUGCCGCCGCCCACUAGGAGCGGGGAGGCUAAGUGAGCUCACUGUGUGCAGGGGAAGGGGAGCGGAGGCCCCAGGUGUGCCCGCACCAUCCUGUCCUGUCCCCACAGGUGUGUGAGCCACAGGAGCACAGGCGCCCACGCCGCCAUUGGAGCAUCAGCAUUGAUGAGCGCCGGCGGCUGGCCAUGCUGGGCACCCCCUCCCAAGACAGGGUGUGUGGUGGGCGGGGAGGCUGCCCUGUCCCUGGCCUCAUCUGCCCAGUCCCUGUGCCUCCCUGCCCACACAGCCCCUGACACCAAUGUUGCCCGCAGGACAUCACGCAGAUGGUGGCAGAGCUGGUGUCUGAGGAUGUGGACAAGGAUGUGCUCCUCGCACAGCCACCCAGGUCUGCUGAGUCCACUAAUGCCUUCUACGACUUCCUGGCCCGGAGCACGCCCUUCUGGCAGAGUGCGACUUUGAAGAGUCAAGCCUCGGGGUCUCCCGGCUCCUAGGAGCUCUCGGACCUCAGCUUUCCAGAGCUUCUCCGUGGGGAGGUUUUGGGGGAGACCUCUGUGUCCUUGUGUCUCACCAGGGAGAAAACAGGCCUCAAAGUACUGCCUGCCUGGGGCUGCUGGGAGGUGUGGCAGCUGCCAGGGAGGGGUCCUGCCCCAGCCUCCACCACCUGGAAGGUGAGGGGCAGAGGGUCCUGCCGGCAGAUGGAGGCCUACCUUACGCUGUCAGGAGGAAGUUCUGGGGCACCUGGGUGCCAGGUGCCCCACCCUGGGGCUGACAGCACCUCUGGAGCCUUGGUCCUGCCUUUGAAGGCCCAGACAGGAUUCCAGGACCCAGCAGUGAUGUGGGGUGGGGGUGGGGCAGCUGGGUGAGGCACACAGAGGGAGGUUUCCUGAGGAAGAGAGCUCCCAGCUCUGGAAGUGUACCCGGAGGUGGACUAGGGUGCAUAGAGGGUCUGGGGUGGCCUUGAGAAGCUGGCUGGACAAGUGGCCCCAGGCCUUAGGCUGGAGCCAUAACUGCCUGGUCUCAAGGCGUGGGACUGCAGAAGGGUUCUGAGCCAGGGUGACAAUCCAGGCUGCAUUUUGAGGCGAUGGAGCUGGAGGGGCCUGGGGGUGGGAGACAGGGAAAGGAGGGAGGGUUCCCAGCCCUGCUGGCUGGCAGGAUGAAGUGUGAGGAGGUGGCCCUGGACUCAGUGACCGACUUAGGGGUUGCUUGGGCUUCUGCGGGGGCAGGACUGGUGAGGGGCUUUGGGUUGAGAGGAGGUGACAGCCACCUGGACCGUGCACACAUUGGCAAACAGGCAGUGCUGUCCCAGAGCCCAGGCUGAGGUGCAGAUCUGGCCAUAUGGUGCCUGCUGCCCUUCAACAUUCCUCCUGCUUCUCUGCCUCCCUCACUGUAAGACGCAGUGAAAGUUCCUCUUCCUUCAGGAAGCCUACCUACAUCACCCAGCUGGGCACUCCCUUUCCAGUUCAAUGUAAUUUUGUCCCAUCUGUUCGUCAGGAUCCCCAGGGUGGGUGGAGGGCAGGCCAUGGAGCCACAGGGACUGGUGGAGGGGAUCUAAGAGGUGGGGUUCAGACAGGGUCCUGGGGAAGGGGAACAUCACAAUCCCUCCCCCUCCUGAGGCCCCUGACAAAGAUGUGGGAGUUGGGGUGCUCUGGGCCAGGGAAACACACAAGAGUCAUCCCAGGGCAGAGUGGGAGCUAAGUGCCAACGGUCACCACAGAGGUCGCAUGCUGUGUAGUUCUGAGUGACUUUAAAAGAUUCCGUGUUAUUUUCACUCAUGGCUGGGGGCUGACUGGGCUCAUCCUACCAAUUCUGGUCUCACCUGGGGAGUCUCCUGAGGCUGCAGCCAGGUGAGAUGCUGACUUCAUAGGGUUCCUGCAGAGCUCCUACCCACCACAGCAGCAUAAGCUGAAGUCUUGGGGUCUUGGGGCUGAGCUGACCCAUGUGGGUUCAUCUGCCACCUCCUAGUGGUUGACAUGGCCACAGAGCCAGCCCUGUUCAGUGGAAAUGAGACCCAUCUCACAGUGGGGAUCAGCGUUGAGUGCACGCCCUCUCCAGGACAGUGAGGUGCCAGGAAAGAUGGCAGUGCCUGGGGCAGUGUGUUUACCACACCUGGGAAGAAGAGGCCAUGUAUCAGUUUCCUACUGCUGCUGUAACAGAUUAUCAUAGAUGAGUGUUUUAUGGUGCAUGCCUGUAAUCCCAGCAACUAGGGAGGCUGAGGCAGGAGGAUCUCAAGUUCCAGGCCAGCCUCACCAAUUUAGGCACCAAGAAACUUAGCAAGACACUCAGAAAGUAAAAGGGCUGGGGAUGUGGCUCAGUGGUUAAGCACCCCUGGGUUCAAUCCCUGGUGUGUCUCUGUCUCUCUCUCUCUCACACAACACAAAGACAGGACAUGGGCCUUUAGGAAGGGGAGCCUGAUGUCUCCCUCAGGGUACCACCAGAGUACCCAUUGGGCAGAGGCCAGGGUGCUGCUUGAGGUUUGCCAGUGCACAGGGGUGGCCCGGCUGGGAAAUCCAGGAAUAGAGGAGGGUCUGGGGAGUCAGGGGCUCACUUGAGAGAGACCUACCUUGGGGUGAGUAGGAGUUCACAGCAACAGGGGGCUUUCGUCCUAGGAUAAACAGAAAGGUCUUGGGGAGGCUGGAGACGCCGGGAAGGAUUCGAGGAGGGAAGGAUCCAAGGAACCGUGCACAGGGACGCAGCCAAAGUCCCCAGCCGCAGUGCGGUUAGGUCUGGCUCUAGUCACUGCAACACCAUGCUUCUAGACUGCUUUCACUUCUGCUUGGCCACCAGGUCAGUUCCUGUCUUUACCCGGGACUCACGUGAGUGCGUCCCGCCACCCGGCCCCUGGGCGACCCCGGCGGCUGAGCGCCUGCGCGCUUCUGGAGCAGGACUGACACCCAGAACGGAGCCGCGGGUGGGCGCGCGCGCGCGCGCACACAAACGGUCUUCAAGCGCAUGCUCGCUCAGCCUUGGCCGCGGAAUCUCCCUGCGUCCCCAACACCCUUCUCGGCUUGUGACUGGCUGGCUCCGGAUGGGGAGCAGCGGCCCCCUGUGUUCACCUGAAGCCGAAGGGGCCUCGCGCUGGCGGCCCAUCCGGGAGCUGACCCCACGCAGCGCGCAGGACCGGUCGGGGUGCCUGGGAGAUGUAGUUUGCAGCUUUGCUGAGUGCCUACACAAUGCCACCACUGCCCCCGUUUAAAAGAAAUGACUUUAUUGGCUUUGCAAAUACUUGUCCGUGAUUAAACAGUGCAACAAAGAAUAU